GAAACACUUGGAUCAGGUUCUGCCCUUUGAUGAAUUCAGCUAAGAGAAUGUAUUUUUUAAUUUCCAAGCCAGUGCAAGCCCCUAGACGCAUUUUGUUGGUGGUCUGUAUAAUGCUGAGACUUUCAGAGGAAUGCCCUAUAAAUACAGCUGCUUAAAAAUGUUUAAUAUUCCUUGGGUACCUGAGAAGAGAAAAGGGAUGAGUGUUCCACUGUGAUCAUCUACUUCUGAAGCACCAAGGGAUGUUUCAAAUCCUAACACCAUGGCCACAGUAAAGCAUGUGUCAUUUAACCACCAUCCUAAAUUCUAAAAGCUCCAUGCAUUGGGUAGACAUGGCUAGUAUGGACACUAUGUGCUAGACAUUGUAUGACAUGCUAGGGAAACGAGAAUCAGUCAUUCACAGUCUGUGCCUAGAAAGGAGUUUAAAUUCCCAUGAGGAAGACAGACAGUGCCCUAUAGUAGGAUUAAGAUCUGUCUAACCCAAAUUGGGAGUGACAGAGAGGUCAGUGGGCAGGGGGCAGAAUGGCAAGGAAGGUUUCCAGAGGAGGUAGUGUUUGACCUGAAUUGUGAUGCGUGAGGACGUUCAGCCAGGUAAAGAGGUGGGACAAGGUACUGUAGGUGGAGGCUGGCAGUGGGUGAUGGGGUACAGUUGGCUCAACACGGCUGAAGAGAUUAGGCUGGGUGGGUGAGUGCGAGACAGAGCACAGAGAAUUGGGAUUUUAUCCAUGAAACCAUUGCAAGAUUUUAAGUAGGGGAAUGAUAUGAUCAGAUUUGCAUUUUAGAUAAUCAAGCUGCAGGCUAGUGGAGCACAGUUUGAGGGUUCAAAGACUGAAAAGGCACGGAGAUGCCGGCUUGUCUUUCUUUUCCCUGAUCAGACCAGACCCCUUCCCUUGGCCUCCCCUUCCCACCACAUACCUCAUUGGCAGGCAGCCCUACUAUGAGCUCAUAUUAUUGUACCAAUUUGAGAAUUAAUUAUCUGCCUCCUUCCAGGGUAGCAGGAAAAGAGUAGAGAAACAUGAUUACUGACUGCUUUAUAGAAGCUGUCACCAUAUUAAGUGCUUCAUCAUUCAAUUCACCUGAGAUGCAUGGAAAUAGGUUAAGCUUGAUUGAGGCUGGUCCACCGCAAAACUGUGCAGUUAGCAGAGUUUGUUUUUGGUACAUAUACCCU
rnacentral:lncRNA from 10 species